rnacentral:rRNA from 1 species
UACGGGGGGAGCAAGCGUUGUUCGGAUUUACUGGGCGUAAAGGGCGCGUAGGCGGCCAGCACAAGUCAGUUGUGAAAUCUCCGUGCUUAACAUGGAAACUGCCAUUGAUACUACUGAUCUUGAAUUUUCAGGAGGUAAGCGGAAUAUGUCAUGUAGCGGUGAAAUGCUUAGAUAUGACAUAGAACACCAAUUGCGAAGGCAGCUUACUACAGGAAUAUUGACACUGAUGCACGAAAGCGUGGGGAUCAAACAGG